rnacentral:rRNA from 1 species
CCUGGCUCAGGAUGAACGCUAGCGGCAAGCUUCAUACGUGCAAGUCGAGGGGCAGCAUAGAUUGCUUGCAAUCUGAUGGCGACCGGCGAACGGGUGCGUAACGCGUAUGCAACUUACCUUUUACUAGGAGAUAGCCAAGAGAAAUUUUGAUUAAUAUCCUAUACAAUUAUUUUAUCUCAUGAUAAAAUAAUAAAAGCUCAGGCGGUAAAAGAUAGGCAUGCGUCCUAUUAGCAAGUAGGUGAGGUAACGGCUCACCUAUGCUACGAUAGGUAGUGGCCCUGAGAGGGGGAUCCCCCACACUGGUACUGAGACACGGACCAGACUCCUACGGGAGGCAGCAGUGAGGAAUAUUGGGCAAUGGAGGCAACUCUGACCCAGCCAUGCCGCGUGCAGGAAGACUGCCCUAUGGGUUGUAAACUGCUUUUAUACAGGAAGAAACCCUCCCUCGUGUGGGGAGCUGACGGUACUGUAAGAAUAAGGAUCGGCUAACUCCGUGCCAGCAGCCGCGGUAAUACGGAGGAUCCAAGCGUUAUCCGGAAUCAUUGGGUUUAAAGGGUCCGUAGGUGGAUAAUUAAGUCAGAGGUGAAAUCCUGCAGCUCAACUGUAGAAUUGCCUUUGAAACUGGUUAUCUUGAGUCAUUAUGAAGUGGUUAGAAUGUGUAGUGUAGCGGUGAAAUGCAUAGAUAUUACACAGAAUACCAAUUGCGAAGGCAGAUCACUAAUAAUCUACUGACACUGAUGGACGAAAGCGUGGGUAGCGAACAGGAUUAGAUACCCUGGUAGUCCACGCCGUAAACGAUGGAUACUAGCUGUUCGGAUUUAGGUCUGAGUGUGAGUGGCUAAGCGAAAGUGAUAAGUAUCCCACCUGGGGAGUACGUUCGCAAGAAUGAAACUCAAAGGAAUUGACGGGGGCCCGCACAAGCGGUGGAGCAUGUGGUUUAAUUCGAUGAUACGCGAGGAACCUNNNNNNNNNNNNNNGUUCGUUUCGACUCUAAGAGAUUAGAGUUUUCGGUUAGGCCGGACGAAACACAGGUGCUGCAUGGCUGUCGUCAGCUCGUGUCGUGAGAUGUUGGGUUAAGUCCCGCAACGAGCGCAACCCUUACUUUUAGUUGCCACCAUUUAGUUGAGCACUCUAAAAGAACUGCCAGUGAUAAGCUGGAGGAAGGCGGGGAUGACGUCAAGUCCUCAUGGCCCUUAUGUGUUGGGCUACACACGUGCUACAAUGGCAUUUACAAUGAGAUGCGAAGAGGCGACUCCAAGCCAAUCUUAAAAAGAUACCUCAGUUCGGAUUGUACUCUGCAACUCGAGUACAUGAAGCUGGAAUUACUAGUAAUCGUGGAUCAGCGUGCCACGGUGAAUACGUUCCCGGGUCUUGUACACACCGCCCGUCACACCACGGGAGUUGGUUCUACCUUAAGGCAAGGUUUCAAACCU